GAUGAACGCUGGCGGCGUGCCUAAUACAUGCAAGUCGAACGCAUAGCGAAAGGUGCUUGCACCUUUCAAGUGAGUGGCGAACGGGUGAGUAACACGUGGACAACCUGCCUCAAGGCUGGGGAUAACAUUUGGAAACAGAUGCUAAUACCGAAUAAAACUUAGUGUCGCAUGACACAAAGUUAAAAGGCGCUUCGGCGUCACCUAGAGAUGGAUCCGCGGUGCAUUAGUUAGUUGGUGGGGUAAAGGCCUACCAAGACAAUGAUGCAUAGCCGAGUUGAGAGACUGAUCGGCCACAUUGGGACUGAGACACGGCCCAAACUCCUACGGGAGGCUGCAGUAGGGAAUCUUCCACAACGGGCGAAAGCCUGAUGGAGCAACGCCGCGUGUGUGAUGAAGGCUUUCGGGUCGUAAAGCACUGUUGUAUGGGAAGAACAGCUAGAAUAGGAAAUGAUUUUAGUUUGACGGUACCAUACCAGAAAGGGACGGCUAAAUACGUG
rnacentral:rRNA from 1 species